rnacentral:rRNA from 1 species
ACGGGUGAGUAAUACCUAGGAAUCUGCCUGAUAGUGGGGGAUAACGUUCGGAAACGGACGCUAAUACCGCAUACGUCCUACGGGAGAAAGCAGGGGACCUUCGGGCCUUGCGCUAUCAGAUGAGCCUAGGUCGGAUUAGCUAGUUGGUGAGGUAAUGGCUCACCAAGGCUACGAUCCGUAACUGGUCUGAGAGGAUGAUCAGUCACACUGGAACUGAGACACGGUCCAGACUCCUACGGGAGGCAGCAGUGGGGAAUAUUGGACAAUGGGCGAAAGCCUGAUCCAGCCAUGCCGCGUGUGUGAAGAAGGUCUUCGGAUUGUAAAGCACUUUAAGUUGGGAGGAAGGGCAGUAAAUUAAUACUUUGCUGCUUUGACGUUACCGACAGAAUAAGCACCGGCUAACUCUGUGCCAGCAGCCGCGGUAAUACAGAGGGUGCAAGCGUUAAUCGGAAUUACUGGGCGUAAAGCGCGCGUAGGUGGUUUGUUAAGUUGAAUGUGAAAUCCCCGGGCUCAACCUGGGAACUGCAUCCAAAACUGGCAAGCUAGAGUAUGGUAGAGGGUAGUGGAAUUUCCUGUGUAGCGGU